AGAGUUUGAUCCUGGCUCAGGACGAACGCUGGCGGCGUGCCUAAUACAUGCAAGUCGAACGAGGUUCAUCGAGUGGUAACACCCGAGAAGAUCUAGUGGCGAACGGGUGCGUAACACGUGAGCAACCUGCCCCGAAGACCGGGAUAACAGCGGGAAACCGCUGCUAAUACCGGAUACCCCCAUCUGCCCGCAUGGGUGGGUGAGGAAAUGGAUUCCGCUUCGGGAGGGGCUCGCGGCCUAUCAGCUUGUUGGUGGGGUAAUGGCCUACCAAGGCAACGACGGGUAGCUGGUCUGAGAGGACGAUCAGCCACACUGGGACUGAGACACGGCCCAGACUCCUACGGGAGGCAGCAGUAGGGAAUCUUGCGCAAUGGGCGAAAGCCUGACGCAGCAACGCCGCGUGGGGGAUGAAGGCCUUCGGGUUGUAAA
rnacentral:rRNA from 1 species